UUCGCAAUGCCCGAAAGGGUGACGAAGCGACGCCGCGUGGGUGAGGAAGGCCUUCGGGUUGUAAAGCCCUGUCAGGAGUUAGGAAAUGUAGACUCGCUAAUAUCGGGUCUAUUUGACAAAGGCUCCAAAGGAAGCCACGGCUAACUCUGUGCCAGCAGCCGCGGUAAUACAGAGGUGGCAAGCGUUGUUCGGAAUUAUUGGGCGUAAAGAGCACGUAGGUGGAUUUGUAAGUCAGACGUGAAAGCCUUCUGUUCAACGGAAGAAUUGCAUCUGAAACUACAAACCUUGAGUGUAGGAGGGGAGAAUGGAACUUCUGGUGGAGCGGUGAAAUGCGUAGAUAUCAGAAGGAACGCCGGCGGCGAAAGCGAUUCUCUGGCCUAUUACUGACACUCAGUGUGCGAAAGCUAGGGGAGCAAACGGGAUUAGAUACCCCGGUAGUCCUAGCCGUAAACGAUGGGCACUAAGUAGAGGGGUUUU
rnacentral:rRNA from 2 species